rnacentral:lncRNA from 1 species
GGGCGUGAAGAGGCACGCCGGCGUCGGAUCUCGAACGGCUGAGGGCGUGGGGCGUGGGAGGCGUGUCAGGCGGCGGGAAGCAGGGGGGCGGCAGGCGUGCUCCAGCAGGCAAACAGCGGUGCUGCUCCGGCGUCGGGCGACACGGUAUAUCUCUAUUUAGUCCUACAAUCAAAAUGUCUGCUCCCUUGAUAUCCAUGCUAUCUGUAUUAGAUUACUUUUUAGAAAACUGGAUUAAAACACUGCCUCUGCAUCCUCAGGGGAUGUACACAGCCAAUGCUAUUUGUAUUUGAUUUCCAGCAAGUGACUGUUGAUUUGAGACAAAGUUGGCCUUAAAUCUUAAGGACCAAUGCCUUGGAUUGUUGUCUGCUACUAUUUUAUUAUAUGUAGUAUAAACAGGUCCUAAAACUGCCAGCUGCUGACAUGUAUCGCCAGUUAAGACCUGCAAGUUCUAUCAUUAAACGGGAUUAUAUUUUUCAAGAUUUGGGCUUUCAUUAAAAUGCACUAAGAACAAUGUAGCUUCCUAGUCCUUCCAGGAGGCAUCAAUGUCGCAUCUGUGAUCUUCAGGAAAAUUAGAAGAGUGCUGUUAUGGUUACUUGAUUCUGUAUUUGCCUGAUGCUGAUCUUCCUGUGUUUUGCUCUUCUUGGUCAAGAAGGAAUUCAUAUGUUUUGGUCAUUGCAUCUGCUGCAUUACAAACUUGCAGCGGUUCCAAUUGUUCUGCACUAAAGUUAGCACCAUUAUUGCUGCCUUCCUUAUCUACCACGACGUUAUAAUCAUUUUCUGCAAAUUAACACCAUUAGCUAAAAGAUAAGCAAUUAUACCCUGUAUGGUUUGUAGAGUAAGGCCAUCCGUUUUGGUGUUGAAAUCUCACAUAAACCAGGCCAAUCUGCUAGAGUUACAAUGCAAAAACAGAUGCCAUCCAUCUUGUUGCUGGACCCAUCUCCUGCAGCCUGAAUCGAUAGUUUUGAUCCUUCAUUGAUACGUUCAAAUUUUGAGCAGUAGGCAACACCUUACUCAAGAGUGCUUUCGCUGGCUGCUCUUUGAACUUUGUGAUUGAAUGCAAGAAAUUUGUCGACUGUGAUUAAAUUAGUAUUUUUUUAUCUCUACAAUAUUGUACACUAGAAUAUUGAAGAAAUGCAUUUAUAUUAUAUAUACAUACCAACAGAUCUUUGUCCACUGUCAAUUCUUUCAGAUAAAUAAUGUUCGUUUGUGCCUGCAGUGCCGCGCAGGGUGCCGGCUAGUUUAUCAUACAAGACAUGAGAAGCAAUGUCCCCAUGCCUUCGGGAGGACAGUGUGAUGUCAAUAAGCAACUGAUGAACCUAGAUUUGGCUGUUAAUUAGUCUUCUUUUACUGUUGUAUAAGGGAUGUGUAGUUGUAUUUUUCGAUGUAAUUGUGUUAUAUACAUUUAUGUGUAUACCUUUUGUAUCUGGGCCUAUCAGGGCAUUUUUAUAAGUUUGUUUGACUCAUUUGUUAUAUUGUCACU